rnacentral:rRNA from 1 species
UUUCGUAACAAGGUUUCCGUAGGUGAACCAGCGGAGGGAUCAUU